rnacentral:rRNA from 1 species
AACGAACGCUGGCGGCAUGCCUAACACAUGCAAGUCGAGCGCCCGUAGCAAUACGGGAGCGGCGCACGGGUGAGUAACGCGUGGGAACCUGCCCAGAGGUCUGGGACAACCGCGGGAAACCGCGGCUGAUACCGGAUGAUUCCUGAGGGACAAAGAUUUAUCGCCUUUGGAGGGGCCCGCGUCGGAUUAGGUAGUUGGUGGGGUAACGGCUCACCAAGCCUAUGAUCCGUAACUGGUCUGAGAGGAUGACCAGUCACACUGGGACUGAGACACGGCCCAGACUCCUACGGGAGGCAGCAGUGGGGAGUAUUGGACAAAUGGGGGGCAACCCUGAUCCAGCCAUGCCGCGUGAGUGAUGAAGGCCUUCGGGUUGGUAAAGCUCUUUCGCACGCGACGAUGAUGACGGUAGGCGU